rnacentral:rRNA from 1 species
CGGACGGGUGAGUAACGCGUGAGCAACCUGCCUUUCGAGAGGGGGAUAACGUUUGGAGACGAACGCUAAUACCGCAUGAGACUACAGUACUACAUGGUACAGUGGCCAAAGGAGCAAUCCGCUGAAAGAUGGGCUCGCGUCCGAUUAGAUAGUCGGCGGGGUAACGGCCCACCAAGUCGACGAUCGGUAGCCGGACUGAGAGGUUGAACGGCCACAUUGGGACUGAGACACGGCCCAGACUCCUACGGGAGGCAGCAG